rnacentral:pre_miRNA from 7 species
AUUCAUUUCCUUCCGGAGCCUACUCCUGCAUAGGGAAAUUGUAAGACCCCCUUUCGGGGACCCCUACUCUAGUCUCGGGAGUGUGAGAGCACCCAAAGAAACACGAGGACCC